rnacentral:rRNA from 1 species
UACAGAGGUCUCAAGCGUUGUUCGGAUUCAUUGGGCGUAAAGGGUGCGUAGGCGGCGCGGUAAGUCCGCUGUGAAAUCUCGGAGCUUAACUCCGAAACUGCAUUCGAUACUGCCGUGCUUGAGGACUGGAGAGGAGACUGGAAUUUACGGUGUAGCGGUGAAAUGCGUAGAUAUCGUAAGGAAGACCAGUGGCGAAGGCGGGUCUCUGGACAGUUCCUGACGCUGAGGCACGAAGGCCAGGGGAGCAAACGGG